UACGAAGGGGGCUAGCGUUGUUCGGAAUUACUGGGCGUAAAGCGAACGUAGGCGGUGUUCCAUGUCAGAGGUGAAAGCCCUGGGCUCAACCCAGGAAGUGCACUCGAUACUGCCGAGCUUGAGUAUCGGAGAGGUUGGUGGAAUUCUCGGUGUAGAGGUGAAAUUCGUAGAUAUCGAGAGGAACACCGGCGGCGAAGGCGGCCAACUGGACGAAUACUGACGCUGAGGUGCGAAAGCGUGGGGAGCAAACAGG
rnacentral:rRNA from 1 species